CUGAGUCACAUUCCCUUCGGAGCUAAGAUUGCUGGGGAGUUGGGAACUGAGGAAGUGGGGCUGGGGAGCUAACACCAACAACUUAUUUUUGGGACAUAACAUGAACUGCUGAUUCUGAUAACCACUAAUUUUUUGUGGCAUCUCCUGAAAAUUUAUAAUGAUGUGGCGAGGAAGCUUGCAGAGAAAGGGUUAAUCCCUGCUGACUGUCGUCGGGGGAAUGUUUGCCGUGUAAACUGCACCAUCCUUAGCACCCUCCAGCCCCCAACUCGUGGCUGAGGUUCUCAGCCACACACCUUGUUGCACUUCACACAGUGGUAGGUCUCCAUGUCUGAGGAGUACCGCAUGCUGUAAUCCAGAGGGGGCUCGGCGCUUGGCAGGAGAUGGCUUCCAUACAGGCUGACGGGGUGCUCCAGGAGGGCUGACUGCAUGGUGGAAGACAUCUGUCUGUAGCUGUAUGGCAGCUGGAAAGCAUCCCAAGAAAAGCCGGUUUUGUAGAAGACAGCACUGGGCUGCUGAAGGACAGCAUCCACGUGUCAUCCAAACCAUCGUGUGCACCAGAGAAGCACUGCAAAUGGCCAAAGGAUGAUGUGAGGAACUGACACUGGAAAGUCACUUCCAUUCUUUUAUCAAGCAUAUCAUAGGGCUGGACUCUAGUUCCACAGCCAGAGCUAGAACAAAGGCCAGCUGCGCUACACCGG
rnacentral:lncRNA from 1 species